ACUCCUACGGGAGGCAGCAGUGGGGAAUAUUGCACAAUGGGCGCAAGCCUGAUGCAGCCAUGCCGCGUGUGUGAAGAAGGCCUUCGGGUUGUAAAGCACUUUCAGUCGUGAGGAAGGUAGUGUAGUUAAUAGCUGCAUUAUUUGUACGUUAGCGACAGAAGAAGCACCGGCUAACUCCGUGCCAGCAGCCGCGGUAAUACGGAGGGUGCGAGCGUUAAUCGGUAAUUACUGGGCGUAAAGCGCAUGCAGGUGGUUUGUUAAGUCAGAUGUGAAAGCCCGGGGCUCAACCUCGGAAUAGCAUUUGAAACUGGCAGACUAGAGUACUGUAGAGGGGGUAGAAUUUCAGGUGUAGCGGUGAAAUGCGUAGAGAUCUGAAGGAAUACCGGUGGCGAAGGCGGCCCCUGGACAGAUACUGACACUCAGAUGCGAAAGCGUGGGAGCAAACAGGAUUAGAUACCCCGU
rnacentral:rRNA from 1 species